GCGGGCGUGGCGGAACUGGCAGACGCGCUGGAUUUAGGUUCCAGUGCCGCAAGGCGUGGGGGUUCGAGUCCCUUCGCCCGCACCA
rnacentral:tRNA from 1 species